rnacentral:lncRNA from 1 species
CUCUCCCUUCACUUCUCCUAGUUUAUAGGGCAUGACGCAUAUUUAUUUUUUCAAAACUUUGUGUUUACGCAUGUUACGAAGUAUUAAGUUAUGAAGUAUAACCUCCUUUCAGGAGAUCCUUGAAGUCCUUGAUAUGAAGAGGUGGCCUCUGCUGGGAUAAGCCUCACCUCCCAGGGACGCCUCUAGCCUCCUCUUGCCCAGCCCCCAGCAGGGCAGCCCCAGGAGACCCCUGCCUCCCUGGCCUCUGUUUGUUCCCAUCCUUUCUGUCUUAAACCUGGAGCACGGUUUUUGAACUCAUAAAAUCCCAAAGGCGUGCAAAUUCUCUGGCUCCCCUUGCACAACCUCCCUAAAGCCCCCUCCUGCCCUCCCCAGUUCAGAGGAGGGAGGGUCCCCAGGCUCACAGAAGCCAGGAUAACAGGACCUUGGCUCGCACCGGCCCCAUCACUCUGCACCUGUGCUUCCCGUUCAGGGGCUCUGUUCCCUCUUCCCCCAAACAAUCCAUUUCUCCCCAGUAUCCCCACAGCUGCUGAGGCCCAGUGGGGAAAACCCUGGUGUCAUGCGCCCCUGGCCCACCCUGCCGAGCCUGAGCCCACCCAAGCACCCUGCUGGAGGACCCAGAGGCAGGCGCCUGGGAAGGGCUCGUUCCAAGACCGGACCCGGGUGUCAAGGUGCGGGCCCCGAGGACCAGGAUCCCCGCAGGUGUCGGCAGCUCUCCCUCACCGCCGCGUUUACAAACCCACCUCCAGUCUCUGUCCCUGAAGGGGACACUUCAUGUUUGCCAAAUGUCAAAGUUCUUCCUCAUUCUCCUUUUCCUGUGUUUGAGCAGAACCCAUGCCCUCCACCUCCUCACCCCCAGAGGUGUCCUCUGUGCCGGGGGGAAGAACCAGACUGCGGGAAAGGAGGGUCUGGGGGAGCACAGGGUGCCCUGCCCCCUACAAACGAUAAGAGAGCAGUGACGCUCCUUUAAGGAAGGCUCAGUGCUGCGGGGCCGCCCUGAUCCACACAUUGCACCCCACGGAGCCCCACAGCAGCCCUGCGAGGUAUGGAUCAUAAGUGAGAAGGGGAGGCCCAGCGCCCAAGGUCACAGCAGAGAGGGGGACAGGAGCCCAGAGUCUGGCUCCGGGGUCUGCACGCACUCCCCAGCUCUCAGGCUAGAGGAGGGCGUUCCUUCCUGGGUGGGGUGGCCUCUGGGGGAAGCGGGGAAAGAGGCAGGUGGCUCCAGGGCCCUCAGUAAGUAGUUGUGGCUGCUUUGCAUCUUCCAGAGACAGCUAGAGGCAGCUCCACCUAACCUGCAGGCUGCAGAAGGUUCUAGAGGGCACCCCAAAUGUCCUGGGAGCCCCCAGGGGAAGCCAGAGGGACAAGAUGAGCAGGUGUUUGGGGGAGGCUUGCGGAAGUCCACACCACCCACCCCUGCCAUCUGGGACCCACUGAGAAGCCCCCCUCAGGGCUAGCCAAGAGGAGUCACCCCCUGGUGGAAGCCAGGACCCCAGCAAGCCCCCAGCUCACGGGACUGGACACCCUGGUCCCAAUUUACCUGCAGGGGCCUGGGAGGGGGAGGCUGCAAGUUCAACAAUAGAGAUCCCAAGGGCAGCAGGAGGGAUCUGGAGAGGGACGGGGCUCCCUGUGGCAGGGCAGGGCGGGUUGGGCUGCAGGGGUGUGGUGUUGGGCUCCCCCCACCCCACCCCCUUACCACCGUCCCAUGGCGGUGCCACCCGCCAGGGGCACCGCGGCAGGUGCCCAGCGAGGCGGGUAGAGGCACGACUGACUGAGCACCUGGCAGGGACAUCCCGGCAGGUGUCAGACCCCGACUGAGCACCUGGCAUUUGCUAACUCUCCGAACGCUCCUCCACGAGCCCACGGAAUCGGGGUUGGGGGGGUGGAUUGGUCACCACCCCCACUUUCGGAGGAGGAAACAGCACAUAGUAUCUCGGUCGGGAAUUUGCAGCCGGCAAGGCUGGCCUGUGGGGCCGCACAGGGCCCGAGCCCUUGUGGAAGAGCGAGGUUGGGUUAGGGCGCCUGCCACAGCCGGGCCACCCCGUCUGCUUCCCGUGCCCGGCCGC